UACAGAGGGUGCGAGCGUUAAUCGGAAUUACUGGGCGUAAAGCGCGCGUAGGCGGCUUUGCAGGUCGGGUGUGAAAUCCCCAGGCUCAACCUGGGAACUGCAUUCGAGACUGCAUUGCUAGAGUAUGGGAGAGGGAAGUGGAAUUUCCGGUGUAGCGGUGAAAUGCGUAGAUAUCGGAAGGAACAUCAGUGGCGAAAGCGACUUCCUGGACCAAUACUGACGCUCAUGUGCGAAAGCGUGGGGAGCGAACAGGAUUAGAUAC
rnacentral:rRNA from 1 species